AAUAAUAACCAUUGCCAAAUAAUGCCACAUGGAAUUACAUGGGGAUCAACACAAGUCAAAAUAGAAAAUCAUAACAACUUUCCUCGAUUUCAAAAACUUCCAUAACUGAAUCACCAACUAAAUUCUCAUCAACCCCAAAUUAACUACCUAUAUAACCCUCUCAUCAUUCACUUUCUAUGACCCUGGAUCACUCAUCACUCUCAAGCUACAAACACUCAAUUUUUCUCUUAUAUCAGAAUCACAUUCACUGAUUAUCAUCAUCAACCUCUCAUCAACACCUCAACUUCAUCCUUCACUCUUUUAUUCAAUUAACCUUUCAACCUCAAUCUCACACUCUCAGAUUCAAUCCCACAUCAUUAAUCAAGAAGAACAAUAAAGAAGAAAAAUGAAGAGUAUUUGAAAGCUAAAGCCAGAGAGGGGGAUUCAGGGCCAUUUACCUGGAAGUUCAUCGUCGCUGUCAUCAAAUUCUUCUUCUCCGACAAGGUACUUCUGAAACCUUCCAUUUUCAUCAUUUUCUUGUUAUCAUGAUGUAAAUAAUUGGGAGGGGAUUCAAAGCCCCAAUCCCAUGGGCUUUGAAUCCUCAUAAUAAGCAUUUAAUUUAAGUUAAGGUAGUUAGGGUUCUUGAGGAUUUCUAGUGCGGUUAUUGGCUUAGGGCUCGAAUCUUGUAAAAUGGAGGGGGGAUUCUGAGAAAGCUUAAGGAGACGAAUCCAUUGAUGACAUCAAUAUCCAUUUUUGGUGGACACCACCACCAGAGGCGAUUUUCAGUGUGGUGGCCCACAAUGAUGUCCCACCUGAGUCAUGAACUGAGUUCUGUCAUUUGUAUUGGCGUGUUUUUCUCAAUGUAAUUCAAAUUCAUUUUAAAUUGUA
rnacentral:lncRNA from 1 species